GACGAACGCUGGCGGCGUGCUUAACACAUGCAAGUCGAACGGAAAGGCCCUGCUUUUGUGGGGUGCUCGAGUGGCGAACGGGUGAGUAACACGUGAGUAACCUGCCCUUGACUUCGGGAUAACUUCAGGAAACUGGGGCUAAUACCGGAUAGGAGCUCCUGCUGCAUGGUGGGGGCUGGAAAGUUUCGGCGGGUGGGGAUGGACUCGCGGCUGAUCAGCUUGUUGGUGGGGUAGUGGCUUACCAAGGCUUUGACGGGUAGCCGGCCUGGGAGGGUGACCGGGCACAUUGGGCCUACGAUACGGACCAGACUGCUACGGGAGGCAGCAGUGGGGAAUAUUGCACAAUGGGCGGAAGCCUGAUGAGGAAACGCCGCGUGCGGGAUGACGGCCUUCGGGUUGUAAACCGCUUUCGCCUGUGACGAAGCGUGAGUGACGGUAAUGGGUAAAGAAGCACCGGCUAACUACGUG
rnacentral:rRNA from 1 species